rnacentral:rRNA from 1 species
GCUCAGGAUGAACGCUAGCUACAGGCUUAACACAUGCAAGUCGAGGGGCAGCGGGAUUGAAGCUUGCUUCAAUUGCCGGCGACCGGCGCACGGGUGAGUAACGCGUAUCCAACCUUCCGUACACUCAGGGAUAGCCUUUCGAAAGAAAGAUUAAUACCUGAUGGUAUGAUGAGAUUGCAUGAUAGCAUCAUUAAAGAUUUAUCGGUGUACGAUGGGGAUGCGUUCCAUUAGGUAGUAGGCGGGGUAACGGCCCACCUAGCCAACGAUGGAUAGGGGUUCUGAGAGGAAGGUCCCCCACAUUGGAACUGAGACACGGUCCAAACUCCUACGGGAGGCAGCAGUGAGGAAUAUUGGUCAAUGGACGAGAGUCUGAACCAGCCAAGUAGCGUGAAGGAUGAAGGUCCUACGGAUUGUAAACUUCUUUUAUAAGGGAAUAAACCCUCCCACGUGUGGGAGCUUGUAUGUACCUUAUGAAUAAGCAUCGGCUAACUCCGUGCCAGCAGCCGCGGUAAUACGGAGGAUGCGAGCGUUAUCCGGAUUUAUUGGGUUUAAAGGGAGCGCAGACGGGUCGUUAAGUCAGCUGUGAAAGUUUGGGGCUCAACCUUAAAAUUGCAGUUGAUACUGGCGUCCUUGAGUGCGGUUGAGGUGUGCGGAAUCCGUGGUGUAGCGGUGAAAUGCUUAGAUAUCACGGAGAACUCCGAUUGCGAAGGCAGCACACUAAUCCGUAACUGACGUUCAUGCUCGAAAGUGUGGGUAUCAAACAGGAUUAGAUACCCUGGUAGUCCACACGGUAAACGAUGGAUACUCGCUGUUGGCGAUAUACUGUCAGCGGCUUAGCGAAAGCGUUAAGUAUCCCACCUGGGGAGUACGCCGGCAACGGUGAAACUCAAAUGAAUUGACGGA